AUUGAACGCUGGCGGCAUGCUUUACACAUGCAAGUCGAACGGUAACAGGACGCAAGGUGCUGACGAGUGGCGAACGGGUGAGUAAUGCAUCGGAACGUGCCCAGUCGUGGGGGAUAACGCAGCGAAAGCGGUGCUAAUACCGCAUACGAACUAUGGAUGAAAGGGGGGGACCGUAAGGUCUAGCGCGAGUGGAGUGGCCGAUGUCAGAUUAGGUAGUUGGUGGGGUAAAGGCUCACCAAGCCAACGAUCUGUAGCUGGUCUGAGAGGGCGACCGGCAACACUGGGACUGAGACACGGCCCAGACUCCUACGGGAGGCAGCAGUGGGGAAUUUUGGACAAUGGGCGCAAGCCUGAUCCAGCAAUGCCGCGUGCAGGAAGAAGGCCUUCGGGUUGUAAACUGCUUUUGUACGGAACGAAAAGGUUUGGGUUAAUACCCUGGGCCGAUGACGGUACCGUAAGAAUAAGCACCGGCUAACUACGUGCCAGCAGCCGCCGUAA
rnacentral:rRNA from 1 species